GGUUUGUUUGUUUGUUUGUUUUUACAUCUUCAUGUUUAGAUCUGUAUGCUGGCUUAUUGAAGUGACUGCUUUCCAAUUGUGUUUUCCUCCAUCCUAAUUCUUCUUUUUCUCUUCUUUCUCUCUCUCUUUUAAUUUAGAGAAGACCUUUCAGUAUUUCUUUUAGAAUGGGUUUAGUAUUGCUCUACUCUUUUAGCUUUUGUUUCUUGGAGAAAUUCUUUAUAUCCCCUUCUAUUUUAAAUUAUAUUCUUGCUGGAUUGAGUAUUCUAUAUUGCAAUAUUUUUCCUUUCAGCACUUUAAAUAUAUCUUGCCACUCCCUUCUGUCCUAAUGGCUUUAUGGGGGUUCCCUUAUAAUUAAUGCUUUGCUUUUCUCUUGCUGCCUUUAUAAUCCUCUCUUUAAAUUUUGCCAUUUUUAUUAUAAUACGUCUUGCUGUGGGCCUGUUUGGGUUCAGCUUGUUUGGGGUCUUCUAUGCUUACUGUUUCUUGAUAUCAGUAUCCUUCAGAUUUGGAAAGUUUUCAGCCAUAAUUUCUUCAAAUAUAUUUUCAAUCCCCCUUUAUUCUUCUCUUCCUUCUGGAAUUCCUAUUAUACAUAGAUUGGCCCACUUUAUAUUCUCUCAUAGGUCUCUUAUAUUGCUUUCAUGUUUUUUCAUUUGGUUUUCUGUCUGCUCUCCUGAUUGGGUGUUUUCCAUUAUUUUAUCUUCCACAUCACUAAUUCAUUCCUCUGCAUUAUUCAUUCUGCUCCUUAUUGCCUUAAGCUCAGUUUGAAUCUCUGCAAAUGAGUUCUCUAGUUUUUCUUGGCUCCUCCUUAUAUUUUCUAGUUCCUUUCUAAAGGAAUCUGCAUUACUGUUCAUAUCCUCUCUAAAUUCCUCCAGUAGUUUCAAUGCUUCCCUUUUGAAUUCAAUGUCUGUCAGACUGCAGAGGUCUGUUUCAUUGUUGUCUGCUUUAGGUGAAUUCUCCUGUUCCUUUAACUGUGAAUGGUUUCUGUGCUUGUUCAUCUUGCUUGUGUUUUCUUUUUCUGUGAGUUUUGGUAAGCUAAACUGUAGUCUUAUAAGUCUAUUUCUAUGUAAGAAUAACCCUUUGUAUUUUGGGGGGAGUUACUAUUUAUUUUUGGUGUUGGAGUUUGAAUAUUCACUAUCUCUUUAUUUGGUGUGAGAUGGCUCUUAUUCCCAGGAUGCUUAGUGUGUUUUCAGGGAGGAGGCAAUGGGUAGGGCCAGGAGUCUGUGCCUGGUCUUUGGGCUCUCAACAGCAGCAAGGACCUUCAGGAAUGUGGCACUGGAUACUCCUAGUUUCAGGGCCCUGGGAGGUGGUAAUAAGCUCAAGGCAGAUCUUCAAGCUGACCAGAGCAUUUAGCAGUAGCAGCAACAGGGUGCAUGAGUUCCCAGGGGAGUGAGAGCAGCAACAGUUCGUGUUUGAUUGACAUGCCCUCCUCUGAAGUGACUGGAAUUGCAUUGGUGCCUUUUUAGGAACCCCUAUUGGGAGCAGGCCAUGACCAUCUCUAGAGUCAGUGCUAACUGCUGUGUUUUGCCCCCGCCACCUUUAAAUCAUGCAUGAAGCAACCUGUCUCACUUAGCCCACAUAUGAGGUGUUGUACAGGGUGCUCCUGGUUGCGGGAUCCUUGGAAAUGAUAGAGAUCAGGUGUGUGGGUACUACCCAGAAUGUUUGGCAGCAACAGCAGCAGGGUGGGUGUUUUCCCUGGGGGUACAAGAGAAUCAACAAGUGGUGUUUGGUCACAAUGCCCUCCUCAGUGGUGCCCUUUAGGUGAAUAGGGCUGCAAGUGAUUCUUGUUCAGUCAUCUCCAAUGGCAGUGAGCCAAACCCAUCUCUGGAAUCAGGGAUAACUGGGGCGGUUUGCCCCUGCCACCUGCAGACCACACAAGAAGCACCCUGUCCCACGUAGCCUACACAGGAGGUGCUACACCAGCUGCUCCUGGUUGUAGGCUCUUGGGAAGGGACAGUGACCAAGUGUCUGGCCACCGCCCAGGGCAUUUGGCAGUGGCACCUGCAGGGUGGGUGUGCUCCCAGGAGAGUGAGAGCAACAGCAUAUGGUGCUUGGUUGCAGUGCCUUCUUUUUUUCUUUUUUUGGCAACCCCUGAGGUGACUGGGGUCACAGGUGGAGCCCACUCACAGGCCCCCAGUGGCAGCAAGCCACGCCUCCCUCUGGUCUCUGAGAUGACUACCUCAGUCUGUCCCUGCCACCUGUAGGUUGUGCAAGAGGCACCAUGUCACACUUAGCCCCCUUAAGCUCUUAGGCCACACAAUAUGUGCAUGGCCACAGGUAGCCUGGACAAGAAGAGCAUAAUUUCCCCUAAAUGAGCAUGAUGCUUCUCACUGACUGUAGCCUCUGCAGAGUUGCCCCACCCUCUAAGCCGGUGGACAUGCUCUUGCUCCGGUGCAGGGAGUUUCCUUUGGCAGCCUGCACCUCCUCCUCUUCCAUCCCCAACAAUUGUGUCUUGCCUCUCCUGUGGGUCCAGAACUUCUCCCAGGUUCCCUCUGAUGUGAUGUUCCCCUUCUUAGCCUGUGAUGCACUGUUACUUAGCCUCUCAUGCCAUCCCCAGUUCUCUCGCCGGGACUGACCUCCGGAUCCUGAGUCUCAAUGCCCAGCCCCCACCCGAGCGUCUGGGGCUGUGGUGUCUGGGCCAGUGGUUCAGUGGAUCUGUGUGGCUCUCACUGUUUUGCUGUUCUGAGUCCAUCUGCUGCAUUUUUCUCAGGCCUCUUUGGGGUCCCGCUGACUCAGCUGAUCUUUCAUCAGUUUGGUGGCUUCCCACCAGGUGGGUUCCUUUUCUCCUUCACCGCUCCGUCUAGGGAAUGCUAGUCCCGUCCUGAUUCCUUUUAUCUCUCUUUUUUUCUUUUGUUCUACCCAGUUUUGUCAAGAGUUUCUUGCCCUUUUUGGAGGUUUAAAUUCUUAUGCCAGCCUUCAGUUGACAUUCUGUGGGAAUCAUUUUACAUGUAGAUGUGUUUUUUUGAUGUGUUUGUUGGAGAAGGUGUGCAUGAGCUCUUACUCCUCUGCCAUCUUGCUCCGUGCUCUCUAUUAAAAUUUUCAAGUAUGUAAUGCAGUAUUAUUAACUUGUUGUUGAACUUUUCCUGUAUUCCUAGAGAAAACAAUUUAGAAAUAAUGAAUUAUUUUUUAAUACAUUGUUGUGUUUAAUUUGCUAAUAUGAUAUUCAGAUUUGUUAUCUCUCUAUGGCCUGAAAAUUUUCUUUCUUGCACUAUCCUUUUUUGGUUGUGUUACCAUGGUUUUACUAUCUUCAUAAAAAAUUCUGAUUUCUCUUUUUUACCGAAAAUUUUGUUUAAGUAUGGAAUUAUCUGGUCAUUGAAUAUUUAUCAGAAUUUGUCUAUGUCACCAUUUGGUCAUUCGUGUUUGUAGUUCUCAUGAACUUAGCUUUGGUAAUUGGAUUUCUUUCCCCAUUUUACCUGCAUUUCAAAUUUAUUGCCAAAAAGUUCUUCGGAAUAUUGUUUUGUAUUUUAGAUCUCUGCUUUAUAUGUAUUGUUCUUUUUUUCUCUCCUAAUGUUGGUUUAUUUGCAUCGUUUCCUUUCCCCCUUCUUUAAAGAGUUUGUUUAAUGUUAGUGUUUUCACAGAACAAAUUUUGUCUUUAUUGAUUUUUCACUAUUGUACCUUUAUUUUCUAUUUUAUCAACUUCUCCUAUUUUAAAAAAAUCAUUUCCUUUCUUCAGCUUUCUUUGUUUUCCUUAUGUGGAUAUUUUAUUAAAUUGUCCUUGAAUGUUUAUUUCAAAGAGAAAACAAUUCUAAGUUGUCAAUUUUUUUCUCUCUCAGUACAUUGUAGACAUCACUUUACAGUCUUGUGUCUUCCUAAUUGUUUACUGAUUUGUUACUGAUUUUUCAGAAGUCAGCUGUCAAUUUAAGCAUUAUUUCAUUAGGAAAUCUGAGUAGAUAUAUAUCAGAUCUUUUCACAUUAACCUUCAUGAUUAUUAAUGUUUUAACAUGGCUUUGUCCCUAUGAUUGUAUUCUAAGUGAUUUCUUUAGCAGUCUUUUUUCAUUCGCAAUUUUUCUCUUUGGCUUUGUUAAACCUAGUGAUUAUAUCAACUGUUGAGUUUUUAGCUCUAGUAAUUACAUAUUUUUUAAUUCCUCAAGUUCUAUCUGUUUUUUUCUCAUCUUGUUUUUUAUUCCAUUUAUUUUCUUAAUAACUUUAUAUAAACUUUUUAUAUUCUGAAUAUGAAAAUUUCAGUAUCUGUAAUUAUUAUAUCUAGUUUCUUUUUUCUGCUGAUUCUCACUUAUUGUGUGUUGUUUCUUCAUUUGCUUGGUGAUUUAUUUGUAUUGUGACUUCAUGUUCUUCAUAAUUUAUUUAAUUUUUAAAAAUCAUAACUAUUUUAUUGAGAUAAUAUAUGUUUAAUGUUCUUCAUAAUUUUAUUUGGAGUAUAAUUGAAGCUUCCAUUAAAGUGUGUUCUUCCGGACAUGUACUUUGUUUUUGCCAUGUUCCUGGGCACUGCACUUUUUCACACUGACAUUUUGGCUUGGAAUUUUCAAUCUAUACUUAUAACGUGAAUUCAACAUCCAAAGACGUAUAAGAAAAAGCUCAUAAUUAGGAAAUCUGAUGGGGAAAAUGAAUGUAGCUCGAUUGAAGAUAUAGAGGAAUCUCUGCUCAGAUCUUACUUCCUGCCCGAGUUCCAGAUAUAUCCUUAUUCAUGUAAUCUCUUCUACCCUAAGCUUUAGGUCACAAAGGAUGAGGUGAUACUGAAAGUAAAAACCCAUUUUUCUCCCUUAUUUUGGAGAAUGUAAACCUUUUUGUUUCUAGCUCAUGACAGCUGUUUCUUUUCCUGCAAGCCUUCUAUGUACACACACAAACACACACACAC
rnacentral:lncRNA from 1 species